ACUGCACUAUUCCUCGGCAGGCAGGCACUCCGUCCUCCUCGGCUUCAGUCUCCACAGGUCGUCAGGGCGUCGAGAAAGGCUCGUCGCGAGAUUGUGACGUCACCAGCCCGGCGCCCUGCACGAGACACACAUCACUAGAUGCACGGGGUGUACUAUAAAGUGCUGUGACAUUUUUGCAAUAUAAAAGGCAAAUAAAACAUCUACUGUAUGCAAGAAAACCCUACAGAUCAAAAUGAAAUUGUCUGGUCACCACAAUUUAAGUGCAGAGCAUCAGUGCGUCAUAUAUGCUGUGUAUAUGUGUGUGGAGCCUGCAGGAGAUACAGAGGAUGCGUGUACAGACACACAGAGAACACAACUACCCUGCCAAGUCUUCAAUCUCGCUCUGUGACAUCUUGGGAUGACUGCUGCCUCUGACUUAAUCCGUCUGGAUCUGAUAGGACUGCAACAUCAAAGGACAAGACUGCAGCAUAGCCAACCAACUGGACUUACACUCGGGGAUUCGGAAUUACAAACCACUGAUCGUUUGCGGAAUCUUGGCGUUGUCCUGGAUGGUGGCUUGACACUUAAACAUCAGAUAUCAGCCACAAUCAAAUCCUCAUUCUUUCACCUGAGGAACAUAGCCAGAAUCAAGCACUUAAUUCCCUCAGAUGAUCUGCCAAAAGUCAUCCACGCAUUUGUAUCAUCUCAAUUAGACUACUGUAAUGCCCUCUACCUUGAUCUCCCAGCAAAAGAAUUGCACCGCUUACAGCUGGUGCAAAACACAGCUGCCAGGCUGUUAACCAACCAGCCCCGUUCUAGCCACAUAACACCCAUACUCUACUCCCUUCACUGGCUGCCUGUAAGAUGGCGAAUCAUCUUCAAGAUUGGCUUACUGAGUUUCAAAGCAUUACAUGACCAGGGCCCAAGGUACCUGAAGCAGCUACUGACCCCAUACUGCCCCACUCGAUUACUGCAAUCUGUAGAUGAAGGACUUUUAGCAGUACCUAAAAUCUCCCGUAAUUCAUCUGGUGGUCAAGCUUUUAGUCAUGCGGCUCCGACUCUAUGGAACUCACUUCCCCGCACAGUGCGAGAGGCCCCAACUAUAGAAUCCUUCAAAAGUAGACUCAAGACUUUCCUUUUUACUCAAGCAUUCCCAUAAUUGUCCCUUUAGUAUCUCCAUGCUUCUGUAUUAUAUGAAAAUCUGUUCUGUACUUCAUUAUUUUCUGUACUAUAUUAUGCUAUGUAUCUGUUA